rnacentral:ncRNA from 1 species
AACUCACCCGGGCCGGACACCGUAAGGAUUGACAGAUCGAAAGCUUUUUCUCGAUUUGGUGGUUGGUGGUGCAUGGCCGUUAUUAGUUGGUGGAGCGAUUUGUCUGUAAACUCUUCUACCCUCAAAAAUUCCUUGAUUUCCUGGUCCAUCGACAUUUGCAUGAUGCUUUAUUGGUCAGGAAAAUUAAGGUCUGAUAAAGGCAGUCACUCUAGGCUUCUUUUCCCACUGGCCAUUGUCAGAAGCCAUUGUCAACAUAGUUCGUUUCAAAAAAGACAAUAGUUGAGUAUUUAUGGCUGUAAUCUGCAUUUCUUGCCUGCCUCUUCGAAUACCACACUAUUUCCCGCGUUCUCUCUCUGAAGUUUUUCAUAAUAACUAUGUUCCUUUGUGAAACACACUAUAUCUGUCAAUAAAACCUUUAAUUUUCUGA